GUACGUCGGCGCAAUUGUUUGACUAGCAGUUGUUUCCGUUUUCAAACUCGAAAUCAUCAAGUUAUCAAAACAUGUGGUUCAGGCAUUCCUUCGUGUUCCUUUUUGGAGUUGUGCUAUUAAUCACUAUAGCAAUGACUCAAGCCCAGCCUGAAGAUCCAGAGGGUGGUGGUGGUUAUCGCCCAACUUGGAGACCUACUUGGAGGCCUACUUGGAGGCCUACGCGUCCAACUUGGAGGCCAACUAGGCCGUGGUAGGGGACCAAGCUUCUAAGUGUGCUUCACGCAGUAUUAACUGCCAAUCAAGGCCGCGUACUAAUUGGUUUAUAACCAGGCAAAACUGUUGCGAGAAGCUUAAAAUUGGAGGACCUGCCGCCGAAUGCAAAGAUUAAUGAGACACAAUGAUUGAUACCAUGUUAACUGAUUUAAAAUAUGCAAAUGUUUUAAUUUUCCAAGAACUAAUUUUCGAACUCAAAAAUUUCAAUUCAUUUAA
rnacentral:misc_RNA from 1 species